GGCGGCGUGCUUAACACCAUGCAAGUCGAACGGGAGGAAAAGAGAAGCUUGCUUCUUUUUGAAUCUAGUGGCAAACGGGUGAGUAACACGUAAACAACCUGCCUUCAGGAUGGGGACAACAGACGGAAACGACUGCUAAUACCGAAUGUGUUCCGGAGACCGCAUGAUUUCCGGAAGAAAGGAUGGCCUCUAUUUAUAAGCUAUCGCCUGAAGAGGGGUUUGCGUCUGAUUAGGCAGUUGGUGAGGUAACGGCCCACCAAACCUACGAUCAGUAGCCGGUCUGAGAGGAUGAACGGCCACACUGGAACUGAGACACGGUCCUGACUCCUACGGGAGGCAGCAGUGGGGAAUCUUCCGCAAUGGACGAAAGUCUGACGGAGCAACGCCGCGUGAGUGAUGACGGCCUUCGGGUUGUAAAGCUCUGUGAUCGGGGACGAAUGGCUGGUGCGUUAAUACCGCAUCAGAGUGACGGUACCCGAAUAGCAAGCCACGGCUAACUACGUGCCAGCAGCCGCGGUAAUACGUAGGUGGCAAGCGUUGUCCGGAAUUAUUGGGCGUAAAGCGCGCGCAGGCGGCUUCUUAAGUCCAUCUUAAAAGUGCGGGGCUUAACCCCGUGAUGGGAUGGAAACUGGGAGGCUGGAGUAUCGGAGAGGAAAGUGGAAUUCCUAGUGUAGCGGUGAAAUGCGUAGAGAUUAGGAAGAACACCAGUGGCGAAGGCGACUUUCUGGACGACAACUGACGCUGAGGCGCGAAAGCGUGGGGUACAAACAGGAUUAGAUACCCUGGUAGUCCACGCCGUAAACGAUGAAUACUAGGUGUAGGAGGUAUCGACCCCUUCUGUGCCGGAGCUAACACAAUAAGUAUUCCGCCUGGGAAGUACGAUCGCAAGAUAAAACUCAAGAAUUGACGAU
rnacentral:rRNA from 1 species